AAGGGUGUUGCCAAGAGGUUAAGGCGUAGGACUUUGACUCCUAUAUCGAAGGUUCAAAUCCUUCCAUCCUUG
rfam:Clostridium hiranonis DSM 13275 Scfld3 genomic scaffold, whole genome shotgun sequence.